rnacentral:rRNA from 1 species
AGAAUCAACGCUGGCGGCGUGCCUAACACAUGCAAGUCGAACGAGAAAGUGGAGCAAUCCAUGAGUAAAGUGGCGCACGGGUGAGUAACACGUGACUAACCUACCCUUGAGUGGGGGAUAACCUAGAGAAAUCUGGGCUAAUACCGCAUAAUACCUUCGGGUCAAAGGAGCAAUUCGCUUAAGGAGGGGGUCGCGGCCGAUUAGUUAGUUGGCGGGGUAAUGGCCCACCAAGACUGUGAUCGGUAUCCGGCCUGAGAGGGCGCACGGACACACUGGAACUGAAACACGGUCCAGACUCCUACGGGAGGCAGCAGUGGGGAAUUUUGCGCAAUGGGGGAAACCCUGACGCAGCAACGCCGCGUGGAGGAUGAAGCCCCUUGGGGCGUAAACUCCUUUCGAUCGGGAAGAUAAUGACGGUACCGAGAGAAGAAGCCCGGCUAACUUCGCGCCAGCAGCCGC